GGUGGAUUCAUCUAAGGGCUAGGAUACCUGCCUCUCACGCAGGACAUAGGGGUUCGAAUCCCCUAUCCACUACAA
rnacentral:tRNA from 1 species